UGAUCAACUUUAGCUCGAAAUUCUGUCUUUCUGGUGCAAGAAGUUCCUUCCUCUGCCUUUUUAGUUCCCUGAAUGAAAAAGCAACACAAAGUGAAGCUCUUGUUAACAUUUGAAUGGUACAUUUAUGCUUAGUGUCAUUGACAUAUAUGACAAAUCUGAAAGUUAAUUGUAGGUUCCACCAUUCUGAUGUUCCUUUCAUUAGCCUGAUCUUAUUGGAGGUUUGAAUAGAGAAAGGCAACUCCUUUAUUUCAUAGCAAUUGAUGAGCUUAAGUUCCUCUAUGUGUUCCCAUGGCUCCCUCAAUGUUCUUAAUCUUGAGCUGCAUUGCAGCAGCCGAUGACAAAAUGCAACUGAUACUUCCUUCUUCUGCUGCUGCUGGUGUGAAAUCACAAGAACAACUCUCUAUGUGUACUCUACCACAUCAUGCAUCUUCACAUAAUAAUAAUCCACACUGUGAUCAGCUUCUUGUAGCAAGCAGGCAUCUUUUAGACUAUCAAUCAUUGUGAUUCAUUCCCCUGUUGUAAGCUUCUUCAUAUGUGUCAUGUACACCAAGGGAACCCCUCUGCCCACCAACACUUUAUGAGAUCAUAUGUUGAAAUAGCCAUGGGAUGUAAGGAGCAAUACAAGAAACAGCUUGGAAUGUCACCUCUCUUAUUCUUGACAUGUUUGCUUCUUUGAUUCAGAGUAUAAUUCAUUAUCCGGAGAUUCUAAAGAAUCAAAACUCAGCUUGAUGACCUUGUAAACCUUAUCUGUAACAUCUUUGCUAUGAGGUUCAGAUGAUUUCAAAGCAUCUUUGAUUAUGAUAACUAUUCUCAAUACUUCAAAACAAUUAGGGUUGUUUGGAAGUCAACCCGGUAACUCGAUUUGGUGUAAUUAGUAUAUCUUGCUUGGUCAUUUAA